rnacentral:rRNA from 1 species
CAGCACUAAUGCACCGGAUCCCAUCAGAACUCCGCAGUUUAACGUGCUUG